GUGUCAACUCGUUUUCCACCUUCUUCAUCUCACUGCUCAGCCACGCCGCGUACCUUUCCACCUCGCUCAUGUUCUCCUAAAACCUCAUGCUUUCGGCUGUCACCUCCAACGAAUCAUGCGGCUCCUCCACCUCUCGCCGCACCACCACCCACAUCGGUAGCACGACGUGGUCGGCGUCUGAAGGCACAACUGCAACUUGUCGUGCAACGCGUAGGAAGUGCCUAAUCAGCUGUUCUCCGCUGUGCAAACAAAUUGGAGUCGUCUCGGCGCGGGGUCGUCUCGAAAAGAAGAGGAACGCUUUUGACUGCGAGAAGGGUAUGUUCAUGGCGGAUACCAUGCGGGCUACGGUGGUCCUGGUGCGCGACGCCGGCGAGCCGUCAUCGGACGUCAAAACUGCAAAAGAAAUCUAAAAUACGUGUUGAGAAAGGGGUUCAAGGACGAGACCAGCGUAACAAAUAUCUACAAUAGAGAAAGAGGGAGAUGAGGAGGAACGGUUAGCUAUGCUCGAGGGAGAGGAGGAGGAAUGAUCAGCCGUUCUUGAUCCAAGAGUGAGAAUUGAUUAACAUGCCCUCGAAUCACGCAUGUCCAUAUAGGACGCACGCUCUGCAAAAAAGAGAACCGCAGAACCGACUCUUUUUUUUUUCUUUUUUCUUAAAUUGUUUACAAAUUUAAAAUUUUAACCUGCCGCUUUGCCAUGUCACCACAUUGUCGCUUUGCAGCCUCACCAUUAUAGCUUGCAAUUGGUUCAGGUACGUCUACAAAUCAGGCUUUAUUGUCAUUUUUGUUCAUUUAAUUUGGGGUUCCUCAACAACUAGCACCGCGAGAUCCAUUAGCGAAUGGUGGCGAUUGUACAAAUUUGAAGGUCCAAAAUCAAAAUUUUCUUGUUAGGCUGCUUCAGUUGGGUUUUUGCAGUUCAAUGGGUUCACUGCGGUUUCAGUUGGGUUUAUUUUGGGUUUGAGAAUUCAAAUCAUGGAGUUUUGAAUCAAGAUUUGGGUAUUAAGGGUUCAUUUGUCGGGUUCGGGUUUAGCAGUUUAUGGUUGAUGAUGAUUUGUGUUUGGUCAGUGCUGUGUACAUCCUGGCAGAGAGGGGUUUCAAGGAUGGGAGUUUGACCUAGCUACGGGGGGAUCCUGGUAACUUUUGAGCGUCCAUCAAUGGCUGGUACAUGGGACUCUUCAUUUAUCUCCCAAUAGAAUCUGAUUUUGAUGCGAGCAAGGAGUACAAAGGAUAUUUUUUAAGUCAACUUCUCCAAAUUCAAUUACCAUUAUAAAAAAGUCACUAUUUAAUUGUGAAAGUCGUAAUGAACUCAUAACACUAAAGAGGGAACUAUAAGUCAUGAUACGUCCCAGACAUGAACUCUUUUUCUGCCCAUUAUCCCGUUCAAUUGUAAUCUAAUGCUUUUUCAUGUUUCUGAGAAUUUUUUAUUUUUCUAGAUUCUAAAAAUCUACUAGCUUUUGGUCAUUUAAAAACGAAUUUCAUCUAUAAUUUCAAUUUUCCUUUCCUUUUUUUGUUUGUUUUUUGAGGGAAAAAGGUGGGGGGGUUUAGAUCAAAUUUGAUUAACCCAUUGCAAGUUUUAAAAGUCAGGAAUUUGUGUCCACAUACUGCAUAUCUUUCUGAUCUUUAGUGGUUUGUUGGUCAUCUAGGUAUUUGGACCCUUUUGGUACUUGUUUUCAUUUGAGAGCUGGAAAGACGUGUGUGGAAUUCAUUUUCUGGUGCAUAUGGAAAUCAUCCUUGAUGUGAUCGUCAUAUUUUGUAUUAUGUUGACAUAAUUCCAAAAAAUAUAUUCCUAAAUGAUUCAUUUCCUUUGUGAACACUUAUUCAACUGCCUUUAAUUUAUGAAUAUUUCUUGAUGCCCAUUGCAAGUGUUGAAAGUCAGGAAUUUGUGUCCAUAUAUUGCAUAUCUUCUGAUCUUUAGUGGUUUGUUGGUCAUCUCCAUAGUAGUAUACUAGUAGAAGGCGUAGAUUAUGACUUGAUCCAAGAGAGUUAGAACACCUUUCUAUUUAGAAGAAAUUGUGCUAUUGUUUUCAUUUGAAAGAUGGAAAGAUGUGUGUAGAAAUCAUUUUUUGAUACUUGUUUUCGUUUGAAAGAGAAACCACUUGCUGGAAAGAUGCAUAUGGAAAUCAUCCUGGAUGUAAUCUUCAUAUUUUGUAUUAUGGUGACAUAAUCCCAAACAAUAUGUUCCUAAAUGAUUCGUUUCCCAUGGCAAACACUUAUUCAACUGUCUUUAAUUUUGGAGUAUUUCUUGAUGCCCUUUCGACUGGUGUUGUAGGAUCAAAAGAUUUUCCACAGAAGUUCUUCUCUUUUUUGGUGAUGCCUGCAGAAUUUGAGAUUUUGUCAAACUUGAAUGAUUUGAUGGAAGCAAUUUCAAGCGCUGGCAGAAAAAGAUGCACUUUCUUCUUGCGGGUCUCAGAGUGGUGUAUGUUUUGACCACCCCCAAACUUGCUGUGAAUGAGAAUGAGACUUUGGCUCAAGGACGUGCAAGGCUAAAAUGGGAACAAGAUGAUUAUAUAUGCAAAUGCCACAUUUGCAAUUCAAUGUUAGACAAUAUGUUUGAUUUGUAUCAGAAUAUGGCUACUGCAAAAGAGUUGUGGGAUGCACUUAAGGCGAAGUAUUUCACAGAUGAUGCGACUAAUGUUAGAAAAUCGCUAAAGCAUAGGAAGGAUGAUAUGUCUCUUGAACAAUUGGGCCAACAUUUUCAAGUUGAGGAAGUGUUUAGGCAGAACCCGAAAGGUGCAGAAGAGCAUACUUCCAAAGUGCAUAUGGUGGAAGAAGGAGACAAUUUUAAACAGCCCCAACAUCCCAGAAAAGGGAAUCUAAAGAGGAAGUUCAAUUGUGUCAAGAAUCAAAAUCAGAAAAAGAAAAAAAAAAAAAAGGUUCAUGCUUCUAUUGUGGAAAACCUGGAUACUACAAAAAUGAGUUUCGUCUUCUCAAGAAAAAGCAAAAUGAAAAAAACUCUAGCAAGUUUGUGGUUAUGAUUUUUGAAAUCAAUGCUGUUGAAGAUGACUGUGCACGGUGCAAAGACAAAAGUUCAUUCUCAAAGUAUGAAUCGGUGGAAGAUGACAAUGUUAUCUACAUGAGAAAUUCGUCCACUGCUGUAGUCAAAGGCAGAGGAGAUGUCACCUUUGAAUUUACUUCUGGAAAAAGUUUAACUCUCACUGACGUAUACCAUGUACCAGAAAUUAGAAAAAAGUUAGUUUCUGGAAGCCUACUUAAUAAGUUUGGCUUUAAGUUAGUGUUUGAAUAUGACAAAUUUGUACUCUCCAAUGGUGGAGUCUUUGUGGGAAAGGGCUAUAUGUAUGAGGGUAUGUUUAAGCUUAAUAUCAAUAAAGUGAAUGUUUCUGUUU